GACGAACGCUGGCGGCGUGCUUAACACAUGCAAGUCGAACGGAAAGGCCUCUUUCGGGGGGUACUCGAGUGGCGAACGGGUGAGUAACACGUGAGUAACCUGCCCUUGACUUUGGGAUAACUUCAGGAAACUGGGGCUAAUACCGGAUAGGAGCUCCUGCUGCAUGGUGGGGGUUGGAAAGUUUCGGCGGUUGGGGAUGGACUCGCGGCUUAUCAGCUUGUUGGUGGGGUAGUGGCUUACCAAGGCUUUGACGGGUAGCCGGCCUGAGAGGGUGACCGGCCACAUUGGGACUGAGAUACGGCCCAGACUCCUACGGGAGGCAGCAGGGGGGAAUAUUGCACAAUGGGUGGAAGCCUGAUGCAGCAACGCCGUGUGCGGGAUGACGGCCUUCGGGUUGUAAACCGCUUUCGCUCAUGACGAAGCCUUGUGUGACGGUAGUGGGUAAAGAAGCACCGGCUAACUACGUG
rnacentral:rRNA from 1 species